ensembl:lncRNA
GUGCUUGGCCAUGGUGCUCAGCCAGGUGUGUGGUCAUGGCACUCAACCACGGUGCUCAGCCAGGUGUGUGGUCAUGGUGCUCAGCCACAGCACUCAGACAGGGUGCUUGGACAUGGCAUAUGGACAUAAGUGCUUGGACACGGUGCUCGGUCACACAUCGUAGACGCGGUGCUUGGACUCGGUGCUCAGGCUCAAAAUGCUCGGCCACAGGUCAUGGACAUGGUGCUCGGACAUGGUGCUCAGCCACAGGUCAUGGAUGUGGGGUGGUCUUGGAUGUGGUGCUCAGGAACAGCGCUCGGCCACUCCUUGUGGACACGGUGCUCGGCCGUGGCGCUUGGCCGUGGUGCUCAGUGCGGUGCUCAGACGUGGUGCGUGGACGUGGUGCUCGGUCCCCAUGCUUGGCCACUCACGAUGGACGUGGUGCUCGGACACGGUGCUUGGACAUGGUGCUCGUUGCAGUGCUUGGCCACUCAUGAUGGACAUGAUGGUCAGACGUGGUGCUCAGACAUGGUGCUUGGACGUGUCCUUGGGCGCGCAUUGUGGACACGGUGCUCGGGCAUGGUGCUCGGAUGUGGUGCGUGGACAUGGUGCUGUGUUUGGUGCUUGGACUUGGUCAUGGACGUGGUGCUUGGGCACGGUGCUCAGACAUGGAGCAUGGACACAGUGGUUGGGCACAGAACACGGACGCGGUGGUUGCUCACCCUGCACGGGCAUGGAGCAUGGACACGGUGGUUGCCCAGAGCAUGGACACCAUGGCUGGACACAGAGCAUGGACACGGUGGUUGGGCAUGGAGCAUGGACACGGUGGUUGCCCAGAGCAUGGACACGGUGGUUGCCCACACUGCAUGGGCACAGAGCAUGGACACGGUGGUUGGGCAUGGAGCAUGGACACGGUGGUUGCCCACACUGCAUGGGCACAGAGCAUGGACACGGUGGUUGCCCACGCUGCACGGGCAUGGCACACAGCUCGGUGCUGCUUGGGCACUCCCCAUCCGGGCCCGGUCCUGGAGCUGUUCCUCUUCAGCACCAACCUUGAGCAGCCAACCUUGAGCAGCCAACCCCACCCUGCACUCCUGGUGCUCAGCACUGCGCCAGCCCCAUGUCCAUCUCUGUGUCCCUCACCAUGUCCCUCACCGUGUCCAUCACCAUGUCCCUCACCGUGUCCAUCCCGUGUCCAUCUCCGUGUCCCUCACCAUGUCCAUCACCAUGUCCAUCACUGUGUCCAUCCCCAUGUCCAUCCCGUGUCCAUCCCGUGUCCAUCCCGUGUCCAGCCCUGUCCAGGCUCCCGCAGCUCCUCGCUCUCUCCGCGCUCCUCCCGCCUCUUUCUUUUCCCCUUCCCGUUUUUUUGGGUUGAUUUUCCUUUUUUUGGGGUUUCUUGGUGCUACUCCCCCCCCGCGCCCCCAGCAGAUACCUCAGCCCCAGCCCGGGUGCAGCUUCUCCGGGAUCAGGGAUCCUUUCCCCGAUUUCUGGGAUCCUUUCCCCAAUUUCUGGGAUCCUUUCCCCAAUUUCUGGGAUCCUUUCCCCAAUUUCUGGGAUCCUUUCCCAAAUUUCCAGGAUCCUUUCCCACAUUCUUGAGAUCCUUUUUCCUGCAUUUCCGAGAUCCUUUCCCGCAUUUCCAGGAUCCUUUCCUGAAUUUCCAGAAUCCUUUUUCCCGAAUUUCUGGGGUCUGGGAUCCUUUUGGGGUUUCCUCCUCCGUUUCCCUCCUUUUCCCAUUUCCACCCGGGUUUUCCCCAUUUCUGCGCCUCCUUCAGGGAUUUCCGACCCCGCCGCGAUUUCCUCAUUUGGGUGCCGGGAGCGAGGAGGGGCUGUGGGGCCAUGGGAUCCUUCAUUUGGGAAUUAAAUGUCAUUUAUUUUAUUUUAUUUUAUUUUAUUUUAUUUUAUUUUAUUUUAUUUUAUUUUAUUUUAUUUUAUUUUAUUUUAUUUUAUUUUAUUUCAUUUCAUUUCAUUUCAUUUCAUUUUAUUUUAUUUUAUUUUACUUUAUUUUUUUGCACCGUGGCAAUUCCAAAUUAACUACCCAAGUGUGUUUCUUGUGGGAUUCGGGAAUUUGGCUGGAGGGGGGACCUUGCCAGCAUUUUUGGGAUUUUUUUUUUAUUUUUUGGAUUUUUUUUUUUUUUAAUUUAUUUUGGUAUUUUUUUGGGGCUGUUCUGGUGCUUUUUGGGAUUUAUUUGGGGAUUUUUUCAGGGUUAUUGCGGUGCUGUUUGGGAUUUAUUUUGCGAUGUUUUCUGGGUUAUUCCAGUGAUUUUUGGGAUUUAUUUUGGGUUUAUUUUGGGGCUGUUCCGGCGAUUUUUGGGGUUUAUUUUGGGAUUUAUUUUGGGGAUAUUUUUGGGGUUAUUCUGGUGCUUUUUGGGAUUUAUUUUGGGAUAUUUUUGGGGCUGUUCCGGCUCUGUUUGGGGUUUAUUUUGGGGCUGUUCCGGCUCUGUUUGGGGUUUAUUUUGGGAUUUAUUUUGGGAUAUUUUUGGGGCUGUUCCGGCGCUGUUUGGGGUUUAUUUUGGGGCUGUUCCGGCUCUGUUUGGGGUUUAUUUUGGGAUUUAUUUUGGGGAUAUUUUUGGGGUUAUUCCAGCGAUUUUUGGGAUUUAUUUUGGGAUAUUUUUGGGGCUGUUCCGGUGCUGUUUGGGGUUUAUUUUGGGAUUUAUUUUGGGGAUAUUUUUGGGGCUGUUCCGGCGCUGUUUGGGGUUUAUUUUGGGAUUUAUUUUGGGAUAUUUUUGGGGCUGUUCCGGUGCUGUUUGGGGUUUAUUUUGGGGCUGUUCCGGCUCUGUUUGGGGUUUUUCGGGGCGGUGGCAGCUGCGGGGAGGCACCGCGGGGAUCCCAAAUCCCUUUAGGAUUUCUGGCUGGGCUCGCACUGGGGUUACUUGAAAUGAAGUUUUGGGGGCGGAUCGAGGAGCGAUAGAAUUUUUCCCACGUCUCAAGGCAAUAGGAUUAAUUAAUGAAUGAAUUAAUUAACGUGUAAUUAAACUGUAGAUACUCCUAGGACGGGAAAUUGAUGCCGAUUAUUUUAUUUUGUAUCGUUUUUCCCUUUUUGUGUUGUUUUUCCCCUUUGCCCUCCUUUGCUUUCCCCCAGUGUUUCAAUAAAUUUAUUUUUUAGGAUUCCUAAAAAUGGCAAGUUCAGAUCCUUCCCCCCCGGUUUUGCUUUUGUUUUUUGGUUUUUUUUUUUUGUUCUGGUGUUGUUUAUUUUUCAUUCGUAUUUGAUUCUGAGUUGGGCUGUGUUAUUAUUCCCGAUACCUUUAAAAUAUUGUGGGUGUUUUAAUAAAUUUUAUAUUUAUUUUUUGCACUCAACACGAGGCUUGGCUGCAGUUCCUGUGGGAUUGGGGUUUUGGGCUUGGGGUUUUUGGGGUUUUGGGGGUUUUGGGGUUUUGGGGUUUUUGGGGGUUUUGGGGACUUUUUGGGGUUUUUGUUUUUUUGGGGUUUUUGGGUUUUUGGGGUUUUGGGUUUUUUUUGGGUUUGGGAUUGGGGUUUUUGGGAUUGAGGUUU